rnacentral:rRNA from 1 species
UCCUACGGGAGGCAGCAGUGGGGAAUAUUGCACAAUGGAGGAAACUCUGAUGCAGCGACGCCGCGUGAGUGAAGAAGGUCUUCGGAUCGUAAAACUCUGUCCUUGGUGAAGAUAAUGACGGUAGCCAAGGAGGAAGCCCCGGCUAACUACGUGCCAGCAGCCGCGGUAAUACGUAGGGGGCUAGCGUUGUCCGGAUUUACUGGGCGUAAAGGGUGAGUAGGCUGUUGCAUAAGUCAGAUGUAAAAGGCUAAGGCUUAACCAUAGUAUGCAUUUGAAACUGUGUGACUUGAGUACAGGAGAGGUAAGCGGAAUUCCUAGUGUAGCGGUGAAAUGCGUAGAUAUUAGGAGGAACACCAGUGGCGAAGGCGGCUUACUGGACUGUAACUGACGCUGAGUCACGAAAGCGUGGGUAGCAAACAGGAUUAGAUACCCUGGUAGUCCACGCUGUAAACGAUGAGUGCUAGGUGUUGGGUAGCGAUACUCAGUGCCGAAGUAAACACAAUAAGCACUCCGCCUGGGGAGUACGGUCGCAAGACUGAAACUCAAAGGAAUUGACGGA